GACGAAGGGGGCUGGCGUUGUUCGGAAUUACUGGGCGUAAAGGGCGCGUAGGCGGUUUGUUAAGUCAGGCGUGAAAGCCCUGGGCUCAACCUGGGAUGUGCGUUUGAUACUGGCAAGCUUGAGUGCAGGAGAGGAUGGUGGAAUUCCGAGUGUAGGGGUGAAAUCCGUAGAUAUUCGGAAGAACACCAGUGGCGAAGGCGGCUGCCUGGACCUUUUUAGCUGACGCUGAGGCGCGAAAGCGUGGGGAGCGAUCCGG
rnacentral:rRNA from 1 species